rnacentral:rRNA from 1 species
UACGGAGGGUGCAAGCGUUAUCCGGAUUCACUGGGUUUAAAGGGUGCGUAGGUGGGUUGGUAAGUCAGUGGUGAAAUCCCCGAGCUUAACUUGGGAACUGCCAUUGAUACUAUUAAUCUUGAAUACCGUGGAGGUUAGCGGAAUAUGUCAUGUAGCGGUGAAAUGCUUAGAUAUGACAUAGAACACCAACUGCGAAGGCAGCUGGCUACACGAAUAUUGACACUGAUGCACGAAAGCGUGGGGAUCAAACAGG